rnacentral:rRNA from 1 species
UACGGGGGGGGCAAGCGUUGUUCGGAAUUACGGGGCGUAAAGGGCUCGUCGGCGGCCAACUAAGUCAGACGUGAAAUCCCUCGGCUUAACCGGGGAACUGCGUCUGAUACUGGUUGGCUUGAAUCCGGGAGAGGGAUGUGGAAUUCCAGGUGUAGCGGUGAAAUGCGUAGAUAUCGAGAGGAACACCUGCGGCGAAGGCGGGUUGCUGGGCUGACACUGACGCUGAAGCGCGAAAGCUAGGGGAGCGAACGGG